AUGAACGCUAGCUACAGGCUUAACACAUGCAAGUCGAGGGGCAGCAUGGUCUUAGCUUGCUAAGGCCGAUGGCGACCGGCGCACGGGUGAGUAACACGUAUCCAACCUGCCGUCUACUCUUGGACAGCCUUCUGAAAGGAAGAUUAAUACAAGAUGGCAUCAUGAGUCCGCAUGUUCACAUGAUUAAAGGUAUUCCGGUAGACGAUGGGGAUGCGUUCCAUUAGAUAGUAGGCGGGGUAACGGCCCACCUAGUCUUCGAUGGAUAGGGGUUCUGAGAGGAAGGUCCCCCACAUUGGAACUGAGACACGGUCCAAACUCCUACGGGAGGCAGCAGUGAGGAAUAUUGGUCAAUGGGCGAGAGCCUGAACCAGCCAAGUAGCGUGAAGGAUGACUGCCCUAUGGGUUGUAAACUUCUUUUAUAAAGGAAUAAAGUCGGGUAUGGAUACCCGUUUGCAUGUACUUUAUGAAUAAGGAUCGGCUAACUCCGUGCCAGCAGCCGCGGUAAUACGGAGGAUCCGAGCGUUAUCCGGAUUUAUUGGGUUUAAAGGGAGCGUAGAUGGAUGUUUAAGUCAGUUGUGAAAGUUUGCGGCUCAACCGUAAAAUGGCAGUUGAUACUGGAUAUCUUGAGUGCAGUUGAGGCAGGCGGAAUUCGUGGUGUAGCGGUGAAAUGCUUAGAUAUCACGAAGAACUCCGAUUGCGAAGGCAGCCUGCUAAGCUGCAACUGACAUUGAGGCUCGAAAGUGUGGGUAUCAAACAGGAUUAGAUACCCUGGUAGUCCACACGGUAAACGAUGAAUACUCGCUGUUUGCGAUAUACUGCAAGCGGCCAAGCGAAAGCGUUAAGUAUUCCACCUGGGGAGUACGCCGGCAACGGUGAAACUCAAAGGAAUUGACGGGGGCCCGCACAAGCGGAGGAACAUGUGGUUUAAUUCGAUGAUACGCGAGGAACCUUACCCGGGCUUAAAUUGCAGAUGAAUUACGGUGAAAGCCGUAAGCCGCAAGGCAUCUGUGAAGGUGCUGCAUGGUUGUCGUCAGCUCGUGCCGUGAGGUGUCGGCUUAAGUGCCAUAACGAGCGCAACCCUUGUUGUCAGUUACUAACAGGUUCCGCUGAGGACUCUGACAAGACUGCCAUCGUAAGAUGUGAGGAAGGUGGGGAUGACGUCAAAUCAGCACGGCCCUUACGUCCGGGGCUACACACGUGUUACAAUGGGGGGUACAGAGGGCCGCUACCACGCGAGUGGAUGCCAAUCCCCAAAACCUCUCUCAGUUCGGACUGGAGUCUGCAACCCGACUCCACGAAGCUGGAUUCGCUAGUAAUCGCGCAUCAGCCACGGCGCGGUGAAUACGUUCCCGGGCCUUGUACACACCGCCCGUCAAGCCAUGGGAGCCGGGGGUACCUGAAGUGCGUAACCGCGAGGAGCGCCCUAGGGUAAAACUGGUGACUGGGGCU
rnacentral:rRNA from 1 species